rnacentral:rRNA from 1 species
ACUCCUACGGGAGGCAGCAGUAGGGAAUCUUCCACAAUGGACGAAAGUCUGAUGGAGCAACGCCGCGUGAGUGAAGAAGGGUUUCGGCUCGUAAAACUCUGUUGUUAAAGAAGAACAUAUCUGAGAGUAACUGUUCAGGUAUUGACGGUAUUUAACCAGAAAGCCACGGCUAACUACGUGCCAGCAGCCGCGGUAAUACGUAGGUGGCAAGCGUUGUCCGGAUUUAUUGGGGCGUAAAGCGAGCGCAGGCGGUUUUUAAAGUCUGAUAUGAAAGCCUUCGGCUCAACCGAAGAAGUGCAUCGGAAACUGGGAAACUUGAGUGCAGAAGAGGACAGUGGAACUCCAUGUGUAGCGGUGAAAUGCGUAGAUAUAUGGAAGAACACCAGUGGCGAAGGCGGCUGUCUGGUCUGUAACUGACGCUGAGGCUCGAAAGUAUGGGUAGCAAACAGGAUUAGAUACCCUGGUAGGAUAGCG